rnacentral:rRNA from 1 species
CGCCAGACUCCUACGGGAGGCAGCAGUGGGGAAUAUUGGGCAAUGGGCGCAAGCCUGACCCAGCAACGCCGCGUGAAGGAAGAAGGCUUUCGGGUUGUAAACUUCUUUUAUCAGGGACGAAACAAAUGACGGUACCCGACUAAGAAGCCCCGGCUAACUACGUGCCAGCAGCCGCGGUAAUACGUAGGGGGCGAGCGUUAUCCGGAUUUACUGGGUGUAAAGGGCGUGUAGCCGGGCUGACAAGUCAGAUGUGAAAUCCGGGGGCUCAACCCCCGAACUGCAUUUGAAACUGUUGGUCUUGAGUAUCGGAGAGGCAGGCGGAAUUCCUAGUGUAGCGGUGAAAUGCGUAGAUAUUAGGAGGAACACCAGUGGCGAAGGCGGCCUGCUGGACGACAACUGACGGUGAGGCGCGAAAGCGUGGGGAGCAAACAGGAUUAGAUACCCUUGUAG